GCGGGGGUACCCGAGCCAGGUCUAAAUAGCGGGUCGACACCCCUAGGAAAAGGGGGAGGACUUAAGCGGACAACAUUGGGCUCCUGAGACAUCCUCUGGCGCAGGCCUCCGUGGGUUCGAAUCCCACCCCCCGCACCA
rnacentral:tRNA from 1 species